UAUAUACGUAUGAGAAACACAGAACUUAAACUUAAGUUGCCUCCUAGGAUCGUCUUAUAUGUCAAUACAUGUUUUCUUUUGAUUCUCCCUCUAGAACUCCAAAUCAUUGUGGCUUGUUCUCCUGAUGUGUGAUAGGCAACUUGUUCUAUAUAUGUGAAUGUAUAAUUGGUACCUUGUGGUAUGAUGCAUUGCGAGAGUUUCAUAUAUGCUAUUUGCAUGUCAGACUUAUAAAGGAAAUCUUAAUGUGGAGGAGUUUUGCUAGAUGUUGAGAUUUGAAGUUUGAUUUGGGGUUGACGGGUACUCGCUAUGGCACUUAGCUUGGAUUGCAUGAAGUGCACAUUGAGACAUCUCUUGAGAGCUUCAUUGGAAUCAUUAAGGAGUUGUUUAUCAUCUAGUCUAAUUCAUGUGUACUUUACCCGCAAUUGAAGGUUGUACCUUUUGGCUGGAACAUAUGUAAAGCUAUGUAUAAACUCCUCUCCUUGAUUAUUGUGAAGCCCUUUUAGUGGAAGACGUUUGGGAGACUUUAUGUAAAAAAAAAAAAAUUAGAGAGAAGAAGAAGUGACUUUGAUUCUUUGUUUGUAUUGGCAUGACAUUUAAGGAUAAAUAUAGUUGAGAGAAAGACUUUUGUUUGUAGAAAAUGUAUUAUUAUUUU